AGAGCGAACGCUGGCGGCAGGCUUAACACAUGCAAGUCGAGCGGGCGUAGCAAUACGUCAGCGGCAGACGGGCGAGUAACGCGUGGGAACGUACCUUUUGGUUCGGAACAACACAGGGAAACUUGUGCUAAUACCGGAUAAGCCCUUACGGGGAAAGAUUUAUCGCCAAAAGAUCGGCCCGCGUCUGAUUAGCUAGUUGGUGAGGUAACGGCUCACCAAGGCGACGAUCAGUAGCUGGUCUGAGAGGAUGAUCAGCCACAUUGGGACUGAGACACGGCCCAAACUCCUACGGGAGGCAGCAGUGGGGAAUAUUGGACAAUGGGCGCAAGCCUGAUCCAGCCAUGCCGCGUGAGUGAUGACGGCCUUAGGGUUGUAAAGCUCUUUCGCUAGGGACGAUAAUGACGGUACCUAGACAAGAAGCCCCGGCUAACUUCGCGCCAGCAGCCGC
rnacentral:rRNA from 1 species